rnacentral:ncRNA from 1 species
UAUCAGGCACAACCCAACUGUAGCCCACGACACCUUGCUUUGCCACACCCUCAAGGGAACUCAGCAGUGAUAGACAUUAAGCCAUGAGUGAAAACUUGACUUAGUUAAAGCUAAGAGGGCCGGUUAAACUCGUGCCAGCCACCGCGGUUAUACGAGAGGCCCAAGUCGAUAGUCAACGGCGUAAAGAGUGGUUAGAAGAAAUCCGUUACUAAAGCCGAACGCCCUCAAAGCUGUUAUACGCAUCCGAAGGUGAGAAGCCCAUCCACGAAAGUGGCUUUACAAUCUUGAACCCACGAAAGCUAUGACACAAACUGGGAUUAGAUACCCCACUAUGCUUAGCCCUAAACAUUGACAACAACAUACACCUGUUGUCCGCCUGGGAACUACGAGCAUCAGCUUGAAACCCAAAGGACUUGGCGGUGCUUUAGAUCCACCUAGAGGAGCCUGUUCUAGAACCGAUAACCCCCGUUCAACCUCACCCUUCUUUGUUUUUCCCGCCUAUAUACCGCCGUCGUCAGCUUACCCUGUGAAGGACUCAUAGUAAGCAAAAUUGGUACAACCCUAAACGCCAGGUCGAGGUGUAGCGUAUGGAAGGGGAAGAAAUGGGCUACAUUCUCUAACAUAGAGAAUAACGAAUAAUGCACUGAAACGUGCAUCUGAAGGAGGAUUUAGCAGUAAGCAGGAAAUAGAGUGUCCCGCUGAAAUUGGCCCUGAAGCGCGCACACACCGCCCGUCACUCUCCCCGAACUAAUCAAGUUCAAUUAAAUAAAACCCCAUUACAGUGAAGGGGAGGCAAGUCGUAACAUGGUAAGUGUACCGGAAGGUGCACUUGGAAAAAU